rnacentral:rRNA from 1 species
UACGAAGGGGGCUAGCGUUGCUCGGAAUUACUGGGCGUAAAGCGCACGUAGGCGGUCUUUUAAGUCGGGGGUGAAAUCCUGGAGCUCAACUCCAGAACUGCCUUCGAUACUGGAAGACUCGAGUCCGGGAGAGGUGAGUGGAACUGCGAGUGUAGAGGUGAAAUUCGUAGAUAUUCGCAAGAACACCAGUGGCGAAGGCGGCUCACUGGCCCGAUACUGACGCUGAGGCGCGACAGCGUGGGGAGCAAACAGG